UACGGGGGGGGCAAGCGUUGUUCGGAAUUACUGGGCGUAAAGGGCUCGUAGGCGGCCAACUAAGUCAGACGUGAAAUCCCCAGGCUUAACCUGGGAACUGCGUCUGAUACUGGAUGGCUUGAAUUCGGGAGAGGGAUGCAGAAUUCCAGGUGUAGCGGUGAAAUGCGUAGAUAUCGAGAGGAACACCUGCGGCGAAGGCGGGUUGCUGGGCUGACACUGACGCUGAACUGCGAAAGCUAGGGGAGCGAACGGG
rnacentral:rRNA from 1 species